GAAAUGCGAUAAGUAGUGUGAAUUGCAGAAUUCAGUGAAUCAUCGAAUCUUUGAACGCACAUUGCGCCCCUUGGUAUUCCAUGGGGCAUGCCUGUUCGAGCGUCAUUUGUACCCUCAAGCUCUGCUUGGUGUUGGGUGUUUGUCCCCGUCUCCGCGCGUGGACUCGCCCCAAAGUGAUUGGCAGCCGGCGUACUGGUCCCGGAGCGCAGCACAUGUCACGCAAACGAGUGCCUUGGUACGGCGGCGUCCAUAAGCCCCUCUCUCACGCUCUUGACCUCGGAUCAGGUAGGGAUACCCGCUGAACUUAAGC
rnacentral:misc_RNA from 1 species